CCUACGGGUGGCAGCAGUGAGGAAUAUUGGUCAAUGGGAGAGAUCCUGAACCAGCCAAGCCGCGUGAGGGAAGACGGCCCUAUGGGUUGUAAACCUCUUUUGUCGGAGAACAAAACCCGGGACGAGUCCCGGACUGCGUGUAUCCGAAGAAAAAGCAUCGGCUAACUCCGUGCCAGCAGCCGCGGUAAUACGGAGGAUGCGAGCGUUAUCCGGAUUUAUUGGGUUUAAAGGGUGGGUAGGCGGUCUGUUAAGUCAGAGGUAAACUUGCGGGGCUCAACCCCGUCGAGCCGUUGAAACUGGCAGACUUGAGUGGGCGAGAAGUACGCGGAAUGCGCGGUGUAGCGGUGAAAUGCAUAGAUAUCGCGAAGAACUCCGAUUGCGAAGGCAGCGUACUGGCGCCAGACUGACGCUGAGGCACGAAAGCGUGGGGAUCGAACAGGAUUAGAUACCCCAGUAGUC
rnacentral:rRNA from 1 species